CUGGCGGAUGCUUACACACGCAGUCGUGCGAGAAAGUUCUUCGGAUAUGAGUAGAGCGGCGGACGGGUGAGUAACGCGUAGGAAUCUACCUAGUAGAAGGGGAUAGCCCGGGGAAACCCGGAUUAAUACCGUAUACCUCCUUCGGGAGAAAGAAGGCCUCUCUUUGAAGUUUUCGCUAUUAGAUGAGCCUGCGUAAGAUUAGCUUGUUGGUGAGGUAAAGGCUCACCAAGGCGACGAUCUUUAGCUGGUCUGAGAGGACGAUCAGCCACAUUGGGACUGAGACACGGCCCAGACUCCUACGGGAGGCAGCAGUGGGGAAUAUUGGACAAUGGGCGCAAGCCUGAUCCAGCCAUACCGCGUGUGUGAAGAAGGCCUUCGGGUUGUAAAGCACUUUAAGCAGGGAGAAAAAGUUAUAAGUUAAUACCUUAUAACCGUGAUGUUACCUGCAGAAUAAGCACCGGCUAAUUCCGUGCCAGCAGCCGCGGUAAUACGGAAGGUGCAAGCGUUAAUCGGAAUUACUGGGCGUAAAGCGCGCGUAGGUGGUUUGUUAAGUUGGAUGUGAAAGCCCUGGGCUCAACCUAGGAACUGCAUCCAAAACUAACUCACUAGAGUACGAUAGAGGGAGGGAGAAUUCAUAGUGUAGCGGUGGAAUGCGUAGAUUUUAUGAAGAAUCCAGUGGCGACGCGGGCUCUGGAUCUGUCUGACCUGACGUGGAC
rnacentral:rRNA from 1 species